CAUCACUCACAUCAAUGAUAGCUCUAGCAGUAGCUAAAAAAGGACGACCUAAAAUCAAAGGCACCUCAACAUCCUCAUCUAUGUCAAGCACAACAAAAUCAACAAGAAUAUGAAUUUAUCUAUUUUUAUAAGUACAUCUUCAAUAAUACCCCUAGAAUAUUUAAUAGACCUAUCAGCUAAUUGGAUACUUAUCCUAGUGGGUUUUGGUUCUCCAAGAUCAAGCUGCUUGAAC
rnacentral:lncRNA from 1 species